rnacentral:rRNA from 1 species
CUAUCAAUUCUAAAGGUAUCUGGAAUAAUUUUAAAUGUAUUUAGUACAGAAUAAAUUUUAAAUAAAGAAAUGUUAAGAUUUCAUUAAUUAUAGAAUAUUAAAUAUAAUUUAAAUAUGAAUUAAUCUUCCAACAUAUAAAUUUAAUAAUAAUAAUUUAUUUAAUAUAUCUUUAUAUUAAAAUUAUUUUUUCUACAACUAACUAGAAAAUUAAUAAUGUUAAAAUUAGUAAUUUUUAAUAUUUUGUGUUAAGGAACUCGGCAAUUUAUUAUUCAACUGUUUAUCAAAAACAUAGUCUUAUGUAUUAUAUAUAAGGUGAAACCUGCCCAUUGAUUUUCAUAAUUUAACGGCCGCAGUACCUUGACUGUGCUAAGGUAGCAUAAUAAAUUGACUCUUAAUUGGGGCCUUGAAUGAAUGGAUUAAUGAAUAAUUUCUGUCUUAAUAAAAUUAAAGUUAAAUUACUUAAAAGGUGAAAAUUCCUUUAAUUUAUAUAAUAGACGAGAAGACCCUAGGAGUUUUAUUUUUGUUGGGGCGACAGUAUAACAUUAUAACUUAUACAUUAUAAAUAAUUAUUAAACGAAUUAUUUUAAUAAUAAAGAAACUACCCUAGGGAUAACAGCAUAAUUUUUAAAAAGUUUGUGACCUCGAUGUUGGACUAGGUAAC